rnacentral:rRNA from 1 species
UACGUAGGGUGCAAGCGUUAAUCGGAAUUACUGGGCGUAAAGCGUGCGCAGGCGGUUCUAUAAGACAGAUGUGAAAUCCCCGGGCUCAACCUGGGAACUGCAUUUGUGACUGUAGAGCUGGAGUGCGGCAGAGGGGGAUGGAAUUCCGCGUGUAGCAGUGAAAUGCGUAGAUAUGCGGAGGAACACCGAUGGCGAAGGCAAUCCCCUGGGCCUGCACUGACGCUCAUGCACGAAAGCGUGGGGAUCAAACAGG